UUCUGUUGGUGGUAGAUAUAUAGCUUGAAAAUAUCGUACUUAACUUAGGUGGGGUUAGAAACCAGUCCACUGCAGUGUGACCUACGAAAUCGCCAUGGCAACACCACGAACACUCGCAUCUUCCAUUCUCCAUUCCCACACACUCCCACGCGCGCCAUGCCGUUUCCGCUUUCACUUUCGCUUUCCUUCAACUUUCAGCACUCUUACAUUUUCCUCUUCCAAAUUUCCCGCUAAAUCUUCUUCGCGCCUCGCCGUCUUCUCUGCUUCAUCCACUGACCACCGCCACAGCACAUCUCAAGACCUCGCCGUCCUUCUCGAAGUCGACGGGGUUCUUAUGGACGCGCACCGCGUAGGAAAUCGUAUUGCCUUUAACAAAGCUUUCGAGAGGCUAGGGCUUGAUUGCGCCAACUGGACUGAACCUGUCUAUUCGGAUCUUUCGAAGAGGAGUGCUCGAGAUGAAGAAAAGAUGGUGUUUCUGUAUUUUAAUCGCAUUGGAUGGCCUGCUUCGUUACCCACAAAUGAGCAGGGACUAUUUGCGAAAAGAGUUUUGCAGCAAAAGGAAAAGGCGUUAGAAGAGUUUGUGAUGUCAAAAGAUCUACCUUUACGACCUGGUCUUGAACAAUUUAUUGAUGAUGCAUAUAAUGAAGGAAUUCCAGUGGUAAUACUAACGGCAUACACUAAAAGUGGUGACAAUAUUGCUGGGUCCAUAAUGGAAAAGCUUGGCAAAGAUAGAAGCAUAAAGGUCAUUAUUGUAGGGAAUAAGGAGGUUGAUCAAAGUUUAUAUGGACAACUAGUCUCGGGAAAGGUAAUUGCCUCUGAUUUGGAUGAAGAGCUUGCCAAGGAAGCCAAUAGAGCUGUUUCUGCUGAAAGACAAAGACUAGCGAAGGAGGUAGCAUCCGUGCUAAAAUUGAGCGUUGAGAUUGAUACCAACUCAUCUGAAAGUCUAGCUAAGAUUGUUGCUGCACUACGAGCGGGAGCAGAAUAUGCAGGGUUACCCGUCUGCAAUUGUGUCCUUGUUGCUGGAAGCCAAUCUGGUGUAUCUGGAGCUACACAGGUGGGCAUGCCAUGUGUUGUUUUACGAAGCAGGUGAUUUGCUCUUGGAAGUUCAACAAACAUUUUGACAUCUAGAGCCGAGUUUCCAUUGGCAAACGCUACAGCGGAUGGAUUUGGAGGUGCAGAUCUAACAAUUUCAAAAUUACGUAAUAUACGCCCGAAGAACAAGCAAAGGACUGAAUGAGCUCUAUACUUCCCAAAAAAAUUAAUAAACACAACAUAAUCACACUUGCUCUGGAGUUGAAGAUUUUUUUUGCGGGCAAGCAACGGAGUUUAAGAUAGGUAACUUCAGGCGAUAUGUUUGCUAGUAUGAUAAUUUCAUAUUACAAUUCUACAAUGUAGGAAUAGAGCAAAUACGCUGAAAUGUGUGGUUUUUGUUUUCCUACUUGCGUGAUCUGACAUCGCUCUCCCAGCAGCCUGAGCAAAGACUAAUCUCUUCUCGAUUGAAAUUUGGCUGUGGAGAAGCUCCUACUGCAUUUGCUGGGUAAAUAUAAUUGUAAUACAUCUGAUGUAAGAUUUUUAUUGAUAACUUCCCAUGGUGGAAUGAGAAUGUGUUAGUAGUGGUCGGGUGCUUUUUUGUAAUUGACAUACAUUGUCGCAUACAUUAUUAUUACACUUACAUCCCAAAGGACUGAAUCUACGUCAAGUUCAAAGUUACUCUUA